rnacentral:rRNA from 1 species
CACGUGAGCAACCUGCCUUUAAGAGGGGGAUAACGUUUGGAAACGAACGCUAAUACCGCAUAACAUAGAAGAUUCGCAUGUUUCUUCUAUCAAAGAUUUAUCGCUUAAAGAUGGGCUCGCGUCUGAUUAGCUGGUUGGUGAGGUAACGGCUCACCAAGGCGACGAUCAGUAGCCGUACUGAGAGGUAGAACGGCCACAUUGGGACUGAGACACGGCCCAGACUCCUACGGGAGGCAGCAGUGGGGAAUAUUGCACAAUGGAGGGAACUCUGAUGCAGCGAUGCCGCGUGAGGGAAGAAGGUUUUAGGAUUGUAAACCCCUGUCUUCAGGGACGAUAAUGACGGUACCUGAGGAGGAAGCUCCGGCUAACUACGUGCCAGCAGCCGCGGUAAUACGUAGGGAGCGAGCGUUGUCCGGAAUUACUGGGUGUAAAGGGAGCGUAGGCGGGAUCUUAAGUCAGGUGUGAAAACUAUGGGCUCAACCCAUAGACUGCACUUGAAACUGAGGUUCUUGAGUGAAGUAGAGGCAGGCGGAAUUCCUAGUGUAGCGGUGAAAUGCGUAGAUAUUAGGAGGAACAUCAGUGGCGAAGGCGGCCUGCUGGGCUUUUACUGACGCUGAGGCUCGAAAGCGUGGGGAGCAAACAGGAUU